rnacentral:rRNA from 1 species
UACGUAGGGGGCUAGCGUUGUCCGGAAUCAUUGGGCGUAAAGCGCGCGUAGGCGGCCCGGUAAGUCCGCUGUAAAAGUCCAGGGCUCAACCCUGGAACGCCGGUGGAUACUGUCGGGCUAGAGUCCGGAAGAGGCGAGUGGAAUUCCUGGUGUAGCGGUGGAAUGCGCAGAUAUCAGGAGGAACACCGAUGGCGAAGGCAGCUCGCUGGACGGUGACUGACGCUGAGGCGCGAAAGCGUGGGAGCGAACAGG